rnacentral:piRNA from 1 species
AAUUGGACAUAGGGGGUUUAGAGAG